GACGAACGCUGGCGGCGUGCUUAACACAUGCAAGUCGAGCGGUAAGGCCCCUCUGGGGGUACACGAGCGGCGAACGGGUGUGUAACACGUGCGCAAUUUGCCCAUCACAUCGGGAUAACUCCGGGAAACCGAAGCUAAUUCCGAAUACGACCACCUCCGGCAUCGGAUGGUGGUGGAAAGUUCCGGCGGCGAUGGAUGAGCUCGCGGCCUAUCAGCUUGUUGUUGGGGUAACGGCCCACCAAGGCUUCGACGGGUAGCCGGCCUGAGAGGGUGACCGGCCACACUGGGACUGAGACACGGCCCAGACUCCUACGGGAGGCAGCAGUGGGGAAUAUUGGACAAUGGGCGGAAGCCUGAUCCAGCAACGCCGCGUGAGGGAUGACGGCCUUCGGGUUGUAAACCUCUUUCGGCAGGGACGAAGCGCGAGUGACGGUACCUGCAGAAGAAGCACCGGCCAACUACGUG
rnacentral:rRNA from 1 species